rnacentral:rRNA from 1 species
GAUGAACGCUGGCGGCGUGCCUAAUACAUGCAAGUCGAGCGAACGGACGAGAAGCUUGCUUCUCUGAUGUUAGCGGCGGACGGGUGAGUAACACGUGGAUAACCUACCUAUAAGACUGGGAUAACUUCGGGAAACCGGAGCUAAUACCGGAUGAUAUUUUGAACCGCAUGGUUCAAAAGUGAAAGACGGUUUUGCUGUCACUUAUAGAUGGAUCCGCGCUGCAUUAGCUAGUUGGUAAGGUAACGGCUUACCAAGGCAACGAUGCAUAGCCGACCUGAGAGGGUGAUCGGCCACACUGGAACUGAGACACGGUCCAGACUCCUACGGGAGGCAGCAGUAGGGAAUCUUCCGCAAAGGGCGAAAGCCUGACGGAGCAACGCCGCGUGAGUGAUGAAGGUCUUCGGAUCGUAAAACUCUGUUAUUAGGGAAGAACAUAUGUGUAAGUAACUGUGCACAUCUUGACGGUACCUAAUCAGAAAGCCACGGCUAACUACGUG